rnacentral:rRNA from 1 species
AGCUCCAGUAGCGUAUAUUAAAGUUGUUGCAGCUAAAAAGCUCGUAGUUGGAUCUCGGGUCGUCGGUAGGGGUUCAGGUUCAUGCCUGCUUACUCCUGUCGAUACCUAACUGGUGGGACGCUGUGGGUGCCCUUGACUGGGUCGCCUACUGCACCCGCUCAAUUUACUUUGAAAAAAUUAGAGUGUUCAAGGCAGGCUCACACGCCUGUAUAAUGGUGCAUGGAAUAAUGGAAUAGGAUCUCGGUUCUAUUUUGUUGGUUUUCGGAACUAGAGAUAAUGAUUAAGAGGGACAGACGGGGGCAUUCGUAUUGCGGUGUUAGAGGUGAAAUUCUUGGAUCGCCGCAAGACGAACUACUGCGAAAGCAUUUGCCAAGAAUGUUUUCA